rnacentral:tRNA from 1 species
GGAGAGGUGGCAGAGCGGCCGAAUGCACCGGUCUUGAAAACCGGAGUGCCCUCACGGGUACCGCGAGUUCGAAUCUCGCCCUCUCCG